GAGUGACCUCCAUGCGUCGGUCCAUGGGAUCCUUGAGACUAGAACCGUCAUCAGAUGGGAUAAUGGUUCUCUUAGAAAGCUUGGCGAUGGCGUAAUCCACCUUUGGCCUCCCUGCGCCCUCCUGACCCUCCUGCAUCCAUAGAAGACAUCUAAGAGAAGUGACGUCCCGCAAAAUCCUCGGACUACAGGAAAAUGGCGCCAAAACCGGAAGUGUGGCUAGAGCGAGGUCCGCGAACUCUUCCCGGACCAAAGACAGAUGGCGGUGCGCACCAACCGGCGGACUCUACCUGCAAG